rnacentral:rRNA from 1 species
ACCAGACUCCUACGGGAGGCAGCAGUGGGGAAUAUUGGACAAUGGGGGGAACCCUGAUCCAGCGACGCCGCGUGAGUGAAGAAGUAUUUCGGUAUGUAAAGCUCUAUCAGCAGGGAAGAAAGAAAUGACGGUACCUGACUAAGAAGCCCCGGCUAACUACGUGCCAGCAGCCGCGGUAAUACGUAGGGGGCAAGCGUUAUCCGGAUUUACUGGGUGUAAAGGGGGCGCAGACGGCAGCGCAAGCCAGGAGUGAAAGCCCGGGGCCCAACCCCGGGACUGCUCUUGGAACUGCGCGGCUGGAGUGCAGGAGGGGCAGGCGGAAUUCCUGGUGUAGCGGUGAAAUGCGUAGAUAUUAGGAGGAACACCAGUGGCGAAGGCGGCUUACUGGACUGUAACUGACGUUGAGGCUCGAAAGCGUGGGGAGCAAACAGGAUUAGAUACCCUAGUACC